rnacentral:lncRNA from 1 species
UUGGGGAGGCUCGGGCCGCACAGGUGCCCAUGGAGGGAGUGAGAGGCUCAGGCAUGGCGGACUGCAGGUCCCGAGACCUGCCCGCGGGAAGGCAGCUAAGGCCAGAUCUGUUUUGUGGAAAGGAAAGGAGUGGCUCUACUGAACAUCUGUGAUACCCAGCUGCACAUUGGCAUUUGGGUUAAAUGUGCACACUGACAGGCCUUCUCCUGUCCUGAAAGAACUCUUAACCAAUACAGCCACAGAUAGGAAUCCCAGCUCCACCAGGUACUUAC